UACGUAGGGGGCUAGCGUUGUCCGGAAUUACUGGGCGUAAAGGGCGCGUAGGCGGCCUUCUAAGUCGAACGUGAAAUCCCCGGGCUCAACCCGGGAACUGCGUCCGAUACUGGAAGGCUUGAAUCCGGGAGAGGGAUGCGGAAUUCCAGGUGUAGCGGUGAAAUGCGUAGAUAUCUGGAGGAACACCGGUGGCGAAGGCGGCAUCCUGGACCGGCAUUGACGCUGAGGCGCGAAAGCCAGGGGAGCAAACAGG
rnacentral:rRNA from 1 species